ACUCGAGUGGCGAACGGGUGAGUAACACGUGGGCGAUCUGCCCUGCACUUCGGGAUAAGCCUGGGAAACUGGGUCCAAUACCGGAUAGGAGCCAUUUUUAGUGUGAUGGUUGGAAAGUUUUUCGGUGUAGGAUGAGCUCGCGGCCUAUCAGCUUGUUGGUGGGGUAAUGGCCUACCAAGGCGGCGACGGGUAGCCGGCCUGAGAGGGUGGACGGCCACAUUGGGACUGAGACACGGCCCAG
rnacentral:rRNA from 1 species